GAUGAACGCUGGCGGCGUGCCUAAUACAUGCAAGUCGAGCGAACAGACGAUGAUCUUGCUCCUCGCACGUUAGCGGCGGACGGGUGAGUCACACGUGUAUCACCUACCUAUCAGACUGAGAUAACUUCGGGAAACCGGCUCUUAUCCCGGAUAAUCUAUUGAACCACAUGGUUCGAUAGUGAGAGACGGUUUUGCUGGCACUUAUAGAUGCAUCCGGGCCGCAUUAGCUAGUUGGUAAGGUAACGGCUUACCACGGCGACGAGGCGUAACCGACCUGAGAGGGGGAUAGGCCACAUGGGAGCGGAGACGCGGUCCAGACGCCUGAGAGAGGCAGCAGUCGGGAAUCUGACGCAGUGGGCGAGAGCAUGACGGAGCAACGCGGCGUGAGUUAUAAAGGUCCUGCGAUCGUAAAGCUCGGUUAUGAGGGAAGAACAAAUGUGGAAGGAAACGAAGACUUAUUGACGGUAACGGAUAAGAAAGCAACGGCUAACUACGUG
rnacentral:rRNA from 1 species